rnacentral:rRNA from 1 species
UUUCGCAAUGCCCGAAAGGGUGACGAAGCGACGCCGCGUGGGUGAGGAAGGCCUUCGGGUUGUAAAACCCUGUCAGGAGUUAAGAAAUGUAAGUGCGCUAAUAUCGCAUUUAUUUGACGAAGGCUCCAAAGGAAGCCACGGCUAACUCUGUGCCAGCAGCCGCGGUAAUACAGAGGUGGCAAGCGUUGUUCGGAAUUAUUGGGCGUAAAGAGCACGUAGGUGGAUUUGUAAGUCAGAUGUGAAAGCCUUCUGUUCAACGGGAGAAUUGCAUCUGAAACUACAGGCCUUGAGUAUAGGAGGGGAGAAUGGAACUUCUGGUGGAGCGGUGAAAUGCGUAGAUAUCAGAAGGAACGCCGGCGGCGAAAGCGAUUCUCUGGCCUAUUACUGACACUCAGUGUGCGAAAGCUAGGGGAGCAAACGGGAUUAGAUACCCCGGUAGUCCUAGCCGUAAACGAUGGGCACUAAGUAGAGGGGUUUUA